GAUGAGUGUACAACUCUUGUACAAUGCUUCUCAAGCAUGUUGCAGUGCAACUUGGUCUCUAAGCCAUGAAGACCUCACCUAACAGUUAUUGGUCUCAUUUCUUAGUUAAAUCAGACCCACCGUAUAACCGUAGAAAUAAAGUCGUCAUUGGGUCCUCACUUAACAGUUAUUGGUGCCCAACCCCACCUUUAUCCUAUAACAUCUCAUGUCUAUAGAGA
rnacentral:lncRNA from 1 species